rnacentral:misc_RNA from 1 species
GGCAGCUUUAGCAUGGAGAAAGAGGUUGAUUGCUGAAGGAGGUUUACGAAAGGUGUAUGAUAUGGAUGCCCGGGGUUUGCUAUUGCUUAUUGGGUGUUUCGGGAUUCCAGGAGCAUUCAGUAAUGAGGAUAUCAGGGAUUUAUUUCUGGCAAGUCCGUUCAAGAAGAAUAUUUCUUGUUCCCUCACAAGAUCAAAUGUCUUCAUGGCAAAGAUUACAGAAAUUAU